rnacentral:misc_RNA from 1 species
AUAGCCUGGUCUAAGGAUACCAGAAGUUUAGCUGUUGGUUACAUGCACUCCAAACUUCAGCUGUGGGAUGCUGAGACUUCCAAAUGUAUCCGUCACCUGGAAGGUCAUAAGGCCAGGGUAUCGACCCUUGCAUGGAAUGGUCAUACUCUAACAUCAGGAAGCCGAGACAAAUCCAUCAUCAAUCAUGAUGUUAGAGUGAGAAACAAUCCAACUUCCUGCGUGCGAG